UACGAAGGGUGCAAGCGUUACUCGGAAUUACUGGGCGUAAAGCGUGCGUAGGUGGUUUGUUAAGUCUGAUGUGAAAGCCCUGGGCUCAACCUGGGAAUUGCAUUGGAUACUGGCAGGCUAGAGUGCGGUAGAGGGUAGUGGAAUUCCCGGUGUAGCAGUGAAAUGCGUAGAGAUCGGGAGGAACAUCUGUGGCGAAGGCGAGCUACUGGACAAUAUCUGACGCUGAGGCUCGAAGGCCAGGGUAGCGAAAGGG
rnacentral:rRNA from 1 species